rnacentral:misc_RNA from 1 species
CGCACCGCCACGGCGCCAUUUUGCGUCUUGCCGCUGUGUGUGCGUCAAGCUCCGUGCGAGUCGUUGUUUGAGAAGUGAAUUUUCUGGUUUUAUCUCGUUUUGCGAGUGCCAGGACAGUUGCAUUGUGUUUCAGACUGAUCACCCGAUAUUUUUGUGCGCCUUUACUGUGCUCUUCGGAAGGCUUGCAGUUCUACCUUCCGAUUGCAGAGGCUUUUUGCUAAGCAUUGCCCGAUGGGCUGGAAAUGAGGAGCCUGGAAUGAAAAACGGUUGAGUAUACUUGUAUCGGGCCAGUUUUCACACUUCCUAGUCAAAUUUCCCAGAGACUCAAAUGUUUCUUAAGAAAAAAAAUAAUAACUUCACUAUUUCAUACAUGAUUUCUCUGGGAAAUAAUCAAAUCACACAGGUUGUUCAUUUAACUUCAUUUUCUCAUUCUGAAUUACUCAGGUUCAUUGUCUUUGAUAAAGUAUUUUUCACUCAAUGAUAUCAACCUGUGUGAUUUUUCAUUAGCAACAACAAGUUCAACCACUUAUAACUUGGUGAAUGUUUUUAAUGAACAAGUUAUGUUGUUUUUUCAGCACAUUUUGACAACCUCCUCAGGGGCAGCUUCUCGGAGUUUAAACACCAUAAUGAAUGAGUUAGGAUCAGUAGGAAAGGCGCAAGCUUUAUUAAGGUGGUAAUCAGUAGAUUGGGUAAGUGUACUAGAUUCUACCCAGCAGGAGCCCUGUCCUUUGAAGAGUCUGAUGCAUUUAUAGAGGAGAAUCAUUGAAACUUUUUUUCUCCGUGGGAGAGUGAGUACACCUAACCGAGGGAUUUUCCUGUCCAUACUACUUUUUUACCACCUUGCCUUUACUUGGGCAAGUGUCUUAGGACUUUUUAUCCGAACUUGUUCAGUUACAGCUGGACCUUUGCUGCCGUCCCUGACUCACCAUGAAGCUACUGUUGCUUGUCCUCCGUGUACUAUUGCCUUGUUUAUGAUAUGUUUUAGUUUUUAAGUGUUGAAGUAUAUUUAUUUGUACAGAUUUAUUGUGAAUACAUUUGUUUUAUAUUA